rnacentral:rRNA from 1 species
UCAGAUUGAACGCUGGCGGCAGGCCUAACACAUGCAAGUCGAGCGGUUGACGGGAGCUUGCUCCCUGAUUCAGCGGCGGACGGGUGAGUAAUGCCUAGGAAUCUGCCUAUUAGUGGGGGUACAACGUUUCGAAGGAACGCUAAUACCGCAUACGUCCUACGGGAGAAAGCAGGGGACCUUCGGGCCUUGCGCUAAUAGAUGAGCCUAGGUCGGAUUAGCUAGUUGGUGAGGUAAUGGCUCACCAAGGCGACGAUCCGUAACUGGGUCUGAGAGGAUGAUCAGUCACACUGGAACUGAGACACGGUCCAGACUCCUACGGGAGGCAGCAGUGGGGAAUAUUGGACAAUGGGCGAAAGCCUGAUCCAGCCAUGCCGCGUGUGUGAAGAAGGUCUUCGGAUUGUAAAGCACUUUAAGUUGGGAGGAAGGGUUGUAGAUUAAUACUCUGCAAUCUUGACGUUACCGACAGAAUAAGCACCGGCUAACUCUGUG